AUGCGAGUUUUCUUGCCUUGCAUACCAUUAUGCCCCUCUGACGAUGACAUGUUCCCAUUUAGUUUCAAGAGGAAACAAUUUCCAAUCAGGCUCAGCUUUGCAAUGACAAUAAACAAAUCACAAGGUCAGACAAUAGCAAAUGUCGGCGCGUACCUGCCUGAACCGGUAUUCUCACAUGGUCAACUAUAUGUUGCACUUUCUAGAGCGACCACGAUAGAAAACAUAAAGGUACUAACAGGUACACAUGAUGAGAACAAGGAGAAGAAAAACAAGAAUAAGAAUAAGAAUAUCAGUGCAAGCAAGACAUACACAAAGAAUAUUGUCUAUACAGAAGCCCUCACCAAAUAG
rnacentral:rRNA from 1 species